UAUAGGUUAUUUGUAGUUUCUUUAAAAUAUAGUUGUAAUCACCUUCAAAAUUAUGGAUAAUCUCAGGGAAUCUUCCAAAUUCCUAUCUUGGAUUUCAUUCUGAAAUGAGAUUAUUAUUGUUUUUGGAAAAUUUUAGCAAAGAAUAACUAGAUCAUAAAGCUUGAAGCUAUUUAGAAUGCUGUUUGUAGGCAUAUUGAUGUAUCUCCAUCUUUCAGCACUGAUGUAAAUGACUUCUCACUGAAUAUAUAUUUCUGAAUCAAUAUCACUGUGCCUCAGCAUUUAUAUUU
rnacentral:lncRNA from 1 species